rfam:Eutrema salsugineum unplaced genomic scaffold scaffold_2, whole genome shotgun sequence.
AACCCGUGGUGAAGACACUGAUUAGUGUAGCUUCGAAACCGUUCCCAAGCUUCUCCAAAGCUCUCAUUUGUGUGCUGUGUAAAGCUGGAGAUUUGGUUCCUGAGCUU